UACGUAGGGGGCUAGCGUUGUCCGGAAUCAUUGGGCGUAAAGCGCGCGUAGGCGGCCAGAUAAGUCCGGUGUGAAAGUCACAGGCUCAACCUGUGAACGCCGGUGGAUACUGUCGGGCUAGAGUCCGGAAGAGGCAAGUGGAAUUCCCGGUGUAGCGGUGAAAUGCGCAGAUAUCGGGAGGAACACCAAUGGCGAAGGCAGCUUGCUGGGACGGUACUGACGCUGAGGCGCGAAAGCGUGGGGAGCAAACAGGG
rnacentral:rRNA from 1 species